rnacentral:tRNA from 1 species
GAGGGUAUAGCUCAAGUGGUAGAGCACAUGCUUAGCAUACACGAGGUCCUGGGUUCAAUUCCCAGUACCUCCA